rnacentral:rRNA from 1 species
AGUGAACGCUGGCGGUAGGCCUAACACAUGCAAGUCGAACGGCAGCACAGUAAGAGCUUGCUCUUACGGGUGGCGAGUGGCGGACGGGUGAGGAAUACAUCGGAAUCUACUUUUUCGUGGGGGAUAACGUAGGGAAACUUACGCUAAUACCGCAUACGACCUACGGGUGAAAGCAGGGGAUCUUCGGACCUUGCGCGAUUGAAUGAGCCGAUGUCGGAUUAGCUAGUUGGCGGGGUAAAGGCCCACCAAGGCGACGAUCCGUAGCUGGUCUGAGAGGAUGAUCAGCCACACUGGAACUGAGACAUGGUCCAGACUCCUACGGGAAGCAGCAGUGGGGAAUAUUGGACAAUGGGCGCAAGCCUGAUCCAGCCAUACCGCGUGGGUGAAGAAGGCCUUCGGGUUGUAAAGCCCUUUUGUUGGGAAAGAAAAGCAGCAGGUUAAUACCCCGCUGUUCUGACGGUACCCAAAGAAUAAGCACCGGCUAACUUCGUG